rnacentral:rRNA from 1 species
AGAGUUGAUCAUGGCUCAGGAUGAACGCUAGCGGCAGGCUAACACAUGCAAGUCGAGGGGCAGCGGGAUGUAGCAAUACAUUGCCGGCGACCGGCGGAUGGGUGCGUAACGCGUAUGCAACCUACCUUAUACAGGGGAAUAACCUUUCGAAAGGGAGACUAACACCCCAUAGUAUUGAUUUAAGGCAUCUUAGAUUAAUUAAAUAUUUAUAGGUAUAAGAUGGGCAUGCGUAUGAUUAGCUAGUUGGUAAGGUAACGGCUUACCAAGGCGACGAUCAUUAGGGGUUCUGAGAGGAAGGUCCCCCACACUGGUACUGAGACACGGACCAGACUCCUACGGGAGGCAGCAGUGAGGAAUAUUGGUCAAUGGGCGCAAGCCUGAACCAGCCAUGCCGCGUGCCAGGAAGACGGCCUUAUGGGUUGUAAACUGCUUUUACAUAAGACUAACCGUAUAUUUGCGAAUAUACCUGAAUGUAUUAUGAGAAUAAGGAUCGGCUAACUCCGUGCCAGCAGCCGC